GCGGGCGAGACCCGGCAGCAGGGCCCGCAGGGACGCUGAGCCACAUGGACCUGCCGUCUGACCCGGUCCGUGGCAACUCGUAUGUCCUUACGAACACGGCAGGAUGGAGCUUCCCCGGCUCGGGGCCGGGGCACGAGCACCGAGCUCAGCGUGCGCUGCAAAACCAGCUGGAGAAGUGGGGUAAAACGUCAGCCUGCCUUUGAGACGCCUUCAGCGGUCCAACGUUAAGCACUCAAUUAAAAGCUGUGAUCCUGUGUGAACUGGAGGCUUCCCCUCGGCCCCAGUAUAGUUUUCCAAGUCCAGCAACCGUUCCAGGAAGGAGACGGAAGCGGAGCAGGCACUUACAAUGAUGCGCGCAAAUGUUUCACGGCAACGCAGCUCCCGUGAGAUCAGACCUAACCAGGUAGCCAGAAGCUGAACGGCCUGCAUAAAGUCUCAUCGGUCUUAGGAAAACAGAGACACGGGGCUCUCCAGAACAGCAGCUCCCCAAUGAAGGUUGUACUGUAGACAGGGCUUGGGUGGUUUUACCAUGGUGUUGUUUAAUCCUAUGAUGAGUAGGUAAGAGUACACACAGCCUGUCUACACUAUACGGCACCUUCUCCUGUCGGCAAGCAGAGCUGCAUUGCUGAGGAAAUGGUGGUGGUAUUUUCUCCCUAUAGACACGGCCUAACGGCUUGUCCAGGACAGCAGACAAAACUCAGUAGUUUGUGCUAAACUGCAGAUAAAAAUUGCUCCUCUUUCUUUCGGGUUUCAUCUGUGCCACAAUCGCUAAUGAGGUUCUAAGGCAUCAACUAGUGUAGUUGUAGCUGGCAAUGAACAAAUAUUUGUUCUUUUUUGUGUCUAACCUAGGAAAAAAUGUUUCUUGUGUAGGUAAGUUUGCUGUCAUGUUAUAGGAUGACUAGCAAUUGCAAUGUGACCUGCCUUUAGAGCAACCACAUACAGAGCCUGAAAAAGGAACUUGAUUACAUGCCAUCAGGCAAUAACAAACUUUUCCUAGCAAACAUUUCUCAGAGGAAAGCCUGAAGGCUUUAGUGUCUGCAGCACUUAAACUUUAUGUACAGUUGUAUGUCUGCCUCUUCAGAAUGUGUGGAUUUGCUUUCAUAAAUGAACUUGUAUAAUAAUGCUCUCUGCCUCAGUCUGCAGCCAUCUCCAGUGCCUCGGUGCUUGCUGAUAACUUCUACCAAGCAACAGCUGGGAGAAAUGCUCAAAACCCUUCUCUUCACUUCCCUCACCUGGAAACCUGGGCAGCAGUGAAAGCAGCCAGAAUUGCAUAGCAGGCCAUAAGAACAGCUGACAUGUCCAAGCAAGUAGCUUGUUUUCCCAGUCCGCAUCUCAGUUCUCACAACACGCCACUCAGUGAGAAGCCUACAUUUUGGCCCUAUCAGUGGGUGGCCUCUCUCUAACAGAGCCACCCAAGGCCUUCAGGAGAGGAGAAAAAAAGUAAAGCAACAGAGGUCAGAAAGGAAAAGAAAAAACGGAUAGCACAGCUGAGCACAGGGAGCACUCUCCCACCAUGGGCUUGCAAGCAGGGGUCCAUCAUUACAAGGCCUAGGAACAGUGCCCUGGGAGGAACCGCUGAACCUUCCUGUUCAGGGAAGCUCUGCUUAUGAAGCGUCACCUAGGAUGCUCACGUUAGCUUUGCCUGUGCAGAAAAUGUACGUGUCGUUGUCAUUCGGGAUCAGGGUGCUGGCAGCUGAACCAUCCAUAGACAUGUUUGGUUGCAAGCAUAGAUGAAGCCAAAUCCUGCUGAGCAUAGUUUUGGAACCCUCCAUGUUCAGUUGCACCUGUUCUUGUUACCCACUGUCAAGAAAAGGUACUUCUAGCACAGAAGUUAGGGCUUUACCCCAGAACUCUGCAUGCUCCCUCUAAUCUGGCCCUUUGGCCUUUGAUUUAAUUGUUAUCUGGUCUGUUUUUCACAGCCCUAUCGCACAAAAGCCCUUUUUUGGGGGUGGGGACGAGAAGUCUUUGAGAAAUCAGCUUUAGGUAUUAAUGAGAGAUUUGCAUAGAAUGUGACUAAAUGCUUAUUCUUAGCCCAUUUACCAACCACACUUGUCAGUCAACUGCAGGCUUCUGAUAGAUUUCCAAAAUAUCUCCAGGAAACAAAGGCAAUGGGGCAAGGUUAACAUUCUGCAAGACUCUCUGAAAUGCAAGGAGAAGAGAGAGAGCAAAGAACAUGAGUCAGGGCUGUAAUGUGUGCAUGCAUGCUGCCAUAAAGCAGUUCAGCCUAUUGAAUUUGUGGCUCACAAUCAAUUGGUGAGAUGGCAUUUUGCUGCUUCAUUGCGGAGCUGCUGUUUUUAGCAUGUUUCAGCCAUCCUGCUGUCCUUGUCUUCCUCUUAUUCUGUUCUUGCUUUCAAGAUUAUCAUCAGAAGUGCUGCAGGAGCCACCCAAAGGCAGCUGAAAGGUGACGUAAUCAUCAUCCUCCCCUGCCUAGUGUAUAAGCAUAUUAUUUCCACAGCAGUGCUGGUAGCCACAAAUUUAGGGCUAUAUCUAUUUACUUGACUCACCAUGGAUAAGUUCACUGGCUUGAGUGGGACU